GUCCAAUCAGAUAAUACAUAUCUUCUUCUUCUUUAUCUGUCAUUUAAGUAGGCUAGCUGUCAGAGUAAAAUCACGGACAACUUUUUAAAACGUGCAGCUCCCUCUUUAUCUACUGCUCCUUUCAAUGUCAACAACAAGGCAGACAACCCUGUUCCUGUCAAGAAGAGAAAAUACGACCCCCGACUUCAAAUAUGGUUUCACACUUGUAGAGGACAGGCAUGGUGAGUGUAGACUGCUGUGCGUCCUAUGCAACGAGCUGUUAGCUAAUGAGGGCAUGAAACCCUCCAAAAUGUAAAGGCAUCUGGACACCAAGCAUCCAAGCCACGAAGAUAAGACAGCUGACAUUUUUUUAAACAAGUAAAUAUCUGGAGGUGUCACAAGAUUCAUUGAAUAACGUAUGCAAGGUACAAGAAAAGGCACUUCGCGCAUCGUACCUUGUAGCCCAGCGCAUUGCUAAGUGCAAAAAACUCACGCCAGCACAGAGGAUCUCAUACUCCCUGCUGCAAAUGAUAUGUCUGUAGCGUGGUUCGUUCUGCGUUGUGUAUUUUUAUUUAGGACACUGCCACAACUGGAAUUCUGUUGGUAGAAUCAUUUUUAUUCGACCUGCACACGAAGAGACAACACACAAUAUGUUAACCCUCGGUGCAGUCACAGCUCUCGGGCACCUUGCUAGCUGAAGGUCCGGCAAAAGAGAACGAUAAAAGGGGGAACAACAUCACUCUACUACAUGUGCACUGAAAUCAUACCACUAUCCAAUGACACCAUGAGGAGGAGAAUCCAGGACAUGUCUGAGGACAACGCGGCAGACAUCAGAGCACAUCAGUGCAAAUGCCCAUUACGCACUGCAGCUUGAUGAAUCCACAUGUUCGGGUGGCUAACCAUGCAAUUCUAAUGGUCUAUGUCAGACACGUCUGGGAUAAUAACUCCGAGGAGCAGUUUCUUUUUAGUGCUGAUUUGCCCACCACCACCUCCACCACUGCAGAGGCUGUAUUUAACACAAUGGGUAUGUACCUGGGCUCCGUGGGUCUGGCCUGGGAUGGGUGCGUCGGUGACCACUGAUGGGGCAGCUGCCAUGAAGGGAAAGCACUCCGGAGUAGUAAAGUGGAUCCUGGAGAGAGCACCGAGUGCGACGUGGAACCACUGCUUUCUACACAGGGAGGCAUUGGCAGCGAAGGACAUGGUACCUGAACUCCACGCCACUCUAAAGGAUACGAUUAAGUGUGUCAACUAUAUCAAAAAGAGUUAAAAGAAAAAUAGGUGUUUCCAGGCCUUCUAGAGGGAUAUGGGGAGCGAACACCAGCAGGUGCUUUAUCAUGCAGACGUUCGCUGGCUUUCAAGGGGUAAAAUGUUGUGUCGCUUUUAUGAGCUUCGCGCGGAGAUUGCUGCGUUUCUUUCGGAAAACAAGUCACCUCUGGCUGAACAUGUCGAUUGUGAGGAAUGGCUCGCGAAGGUUGGCCACCUGGAGGAUUUUUUUAAUCAUCUCAAUUCGCUCAAUUGGUCAAAGAACAGGGACGGGAGCACAAUCGAUUUGAAGAGAGGGACAAAGUGGAUGCCUUCAAGAUGAAGCUCGUCGUUUGGGCAAAUCAUGUUUCUAACGGGAGGAUUGACAUGUUUCCAAAUGCUGAUUUCGAUAUUCAGAAUCUGAUCAACAAAGCGCACAGCGACACUGAAAAAAAACGUUAAACAGGAUCUUGUUAAUAAGCUGCAGGGAAGGUUUUGCGACUACUUCUCGGAGGAGAACAGGAGACAAGACGACUGGAUACCGGACCCCUUUCGAGAGGCGAUGUGAAGCGUCACUUUGUCAAGCAACGAAGAUGAUCAGCUGGUGGAGCUGUCAUUUGAUCGGGCGACUGAGCAUGCGCUUCCUGGAAAUGACACUGCCAAAGUUCUGGUGCAGCGUAGUGGGAGAGUAUCUUGCUCUCGCCUGUCAUCAGAAUCAUGCUACCGUUCAGGACUACCUAUCUGUGUGAAAGUGGCUUCUCUGCUAUGUCUGUGCUGAAAACUAAAAGCAGAAACAAACUGGACAGCCAGCAUGACCUCCGAGUUUCCCUGUCAACCAUCACCCCAGACUUUAAUAAACUUAUCAAACUGAAGAAACACCCCCAGUUUUCCCACUGAUAGGCCACAAACACGCACACACAAUAAAUAAAUAAACAGGUCAAUGAGUUAUAGUUCAGUAUGUUAAUUCAUUCUGACAUUCAUAUUACAUUUUAUUGAACUCUUUAAUAACUACACCUUUAAAAAAAACUUUUGAAGGAUGUGAAACUAUUCACAUGCUAAUUGAUGGUUACGAAAUCAUAAUCAUUGUUGUUGACAUAGAAUCUUGACUAGAACCCAAAAAUGUUAUCAUAUUACUCCAGUGCUAGCGUCUCUACACUGGCUUCCUGUUAAGGCAAGGGCUGAUUUCAAAGUUUUACUGCUAACCUACAAAGCAUUACAUGGGCUUGCUCCUACCUAUCUUUCCGAUGCCGUACAUACCUACACGUACGCUACGGUCACAAGACGCAAACCUCCUUACUGCAGGGCUUUCUCCUAUAGAGCUCAAUUUUUAUGGAAUGGUCUGCCUACCGAUGUGAGAGACGCAGAUUCGGUCUCAACCUCUUUAUUGAAGACUCAUCGCUUUAGUAGGUCCUAUGACUGAGUGUAGUCUGGCCCAGGAGUGUGAGGGUGAACGGAAAGGCACUGGAGCAACGAACCGCCCUUGCUGUCUCUGCUUGGCCGGUUCCCCUCUCUCCACUGGGAUUCUCUGCCUCUAACCCUAUUACAGGGGCUGAGUCACUGGCUUACUGGUGCUCUUCCAUGCUGUCCCUAGGAGGGGUGCGUCACUUGAGUGGGUUGAGUCACUGACGUGAUCUUCCUGUCUGGGUUGCCCCCCCCCCCCCCCUGGGUUGUGCCGUGGCAAAGAUCUUUGUGGGCUAUACUCGGCCAUGUCUCAGGAUGGUAAGUUGGUGGUUGAAGAUAUCCCUCUAGUGGUGUGGGGUCAUAUCCUACCUGUUUGGCCCUGUCCAGGGGUAUCGUCGGAUGGGGCCACAGUGUCUCCUGACCCCUCCUGUCUCAGCCUCCAGUAUUUAUGCUGCAGUAGUUUAUGUGUUGGGGGGCUAGGUCAGUCUGUUAUAUCUGGAGUAUUUCUCCUGUCUUAUCCGGUGUCCUGUGUGAAUUUAAGUAUGCCCUCUCUAAUUCUCUCUCUCUUUUUCUUUCUCGCUUUCUUUCUUUCUCUCUCUCUUGGAGAACCUGAGCCCUAGGACCAUGCCUCAGGACUACCUGGCCUGAUGACUCCUUGCUGUCCCCAGUCCACCUGGCCGUGCUGCUGCUCCAGUUUCAACUGUUCUGCCUGCGGCUAUGGAACCCUGACCUGUUCACCAGACGUGCUACCUGUCCCAGACCUGCUGUUUUCAACUCUCUAGAGACAGCAGGAGCAGUAAAGAUACUCUGAAUAAUCGGCUAUGAAAAGCCAACUGACAGUUACUCCUGAGGUGCUGACCUGUUGCACCCUCGACAACCACAUGUGAUUAUUAUUAUUUGACCCUGCUGGUCAUCUAUGAACAUUUGAACAUCUUGGCCAUGUUCUGUUAUAAUCUCCACCUGGCACAGCCAGAAGAGGACUGGCCACCCCUCAUAGCCUGGUUCCUCUCUAGGUUUCUUCCUAGGUUCUGGACUUUCUAGGGAGUUUUUCCUAGCCACCGUGCUUCUACACCUGCAUUGCUUGCUGUUCGGGGUUUUAGGCUGGGUUUCUGUACAGCACUUUGAGACAUCAGCUGAUGUAAGAAGGGCUUUAUAAAUACAUUUUAUUUGAUUUGUUUUCUUCUAUUUUAAACACUGGUAUGUGUUACUGUUCAUUAACAUUAUUGGACUGGUUUUGAUGCCAUGUUCUGAGUCUGAUCAUUUAUUACACAUACUCCUGAACUGGUUGCCUAAUUAAAUGGCUUAUUCUCUUGAAUUGAUAAUAAAUGUUUUCUCGGCUAAUAUGUCUGUGUAAUGACUUUCUUUAAUACCAUAAUAGUAGCCCAUUGAGACAGAGUCUAUUUUGCAAGUGAAGCCUGACCAAGACGGAAGCUGCAAUACAACAUUACAAAAUGUAAACAGUCCAUAAUAUUUGGUCGUGACUCAAUUGUCA
rnacentral:lncRNA from 1 species